CUUGCAUUACAGAGUCAUCAUGCAUUUUUUUUAUCUGCAACGAGGACCUCAGUGGGGCUUUCAAAGGCUAUGUACAAACUUACAUGCAGGAGCUCAGGUAUGAAAAGGCACAUGCAGGAGAGAGAAACCAGGAAAUACUUCUUUUCAUUGGAGUACCCACCAACCAAUGCCAAGAAAGAGAUAACGUAUUUUUGAUGAAGUAUGAAGAAACAUACACCUCAGACCACAGAAGGGAAGGAGGAGGGAGGAUCUUACUGCUGCCUUCUGUUACCUAAGGUCUGGUGAAAAAGAUGAAGCCAUCUCUUUUUCUGGAGGGGCAAAGUGAAAAAACAAGAGGCAAUGGAUAAAAGCUGCAAAACCUAGAUAUUUCAAUCAGAUGUUGGGACUCUCGUAUACUGGAGACCCUUCAAACAGUGGAGCAAGUUGCGUGGAGACUGCAAUUUCCAUCCCUGCAGACAGUAAAAACUUGACUGAAGACAGUCCUGGGCAACCUGGACUAACUUUGAAGUUGGCCUUGCUUUUGUCUGGGCCUUGGACCAGGCGUCCCUUCCCACCUAAAUUAUUCUGUGGUUCUGUGAACAUUGAUGUAUGGAUGUAAAGCAAGAAAAAUGGAAAGCUGAUUUUGAGCAAAAUUAUUUUGUUUUUAUUUUUACUGUUGUGCUUUCAGUAGAAUAGAGAAGAUGGAGGUCAUUGUUUAUACUUGCUAUAUAAAUUUUCAAGACUGUGGGCAAGUGACCAAACUGAAAGGAAAAAAUUAUUCAUCAACAGGCCCAAAACUUUUGGCAACUGCUCUAUAAUCCAUUUGUUGGCUGUUUGUUUUUCUAUAGAUGUAGAUUAGUUUGCCUGAGCCAAAUAUCUUAGAAAUUAAUGCAUAAAUAUGUGUUUUAACCUGGUUGCCAGUAAAAGAAAAGUAAAAUGAAAUCAAUGCAUCAGGGAAGGAUUCAUUGAUGUGAGUAGCCUCAUCUUCAAAACAGCCAGUAAAAAGCAGAAAUAGCCCUAAUGUGUUUUAAUAGAGCAAAAGAGGUAUAAAUUGUGGUCCAUUUCUCUCUAUUAGAUCUUAUUUUUCUGUGUUAAUUUUUCAUGGACUUAUUCCAGAAGGUUUCUUGUGAACAUAGCUCAUACAAGAUGAGCCUGAAAGGAGACCCUCAGAACAGCUUCAGAAGUCUAUCUUCCUGUAUGCUCUUGCUAGUUUUCACUUACUUCCCUUUUCUGCUUCUCUGUGCAGAAUGUAAUGAUGUUUUCCCAGAAAAAUACUUGAUCAAGAAAUAAAACAUCAGCCUCACCAACUGAACACCUAUUAACGGUAUCUCUGCAUCUUGUAAUUUUUUUUUCUGUACUCUGGAGAAUGAAACCUGUCAGACACAGAUGUGCAUGGAAGUGGCUUGGCGAGAUGAUCGUGGGGGGAUGCUAACAGCUGCUGAGGUCAAAAGUGCAACAGCUUUGGAAGGGUGUAGCAGACACCUGGCUUUGUCUGAAGCCAGUGGGUCAAGGUCUCCCUUUUACGAGCGCGUCACCACUUUUACAUUGAUAUCUAUUGCCCAAAUGCUUGGAAGAAAGGUGACAUGUAUGUAUUAAUUGCAUCUUCAUUUUUUAAAGAACAGACCCUCACCCUCCUUAGAAAUUGAGCCCUUAUUCAGCAUUGCAUUCUUUUUGUCAGUAUAAAAGAUGCUGGGUGUAUUUGUGUUUAUCAGUGUAUUGACAUUGUAUUUGUCUUCAUGGAUAUCUGAUGAUUCUCAAAUUAAAGAAGACAGAAGAGGUAAUUCACGUCUCUAUUUCAAACACAAAUUAAGAUUAACACCAGACCAAUGAGGGAGGGAAUUUGAGUCUAAGCACAGGCAUAACAGUGGAAAUGUCUCCUGAGGACAUGGCCAUAUAUGAUCUAUGUUCAUGAAUCAGCUGAGGAGAUGACAGGAGCAUUGCAGAGGGAUCUGGGACUCCUAAGGUGGGAACACCAGAAAAAAAAGUACCCUGCCUGUCACUUCCACAUGCACUUCAGUAGGAUAGAAGAUCUACCUCUUUGUCCUUUGGCUCUGGAUGACUCACACAACAAUGAUGAAGGCUCCUUAGAUCUCUGUGCCAUCCUCCACCUCUCAUCAUGGGGGCUGAUCAGUGAAGAGAUGUGGACACUUGCAGUCUUCCUUUGGCUUCUGUAUGAUAGAACAGUACCUCAAAUGAUCUGGAGAAAGGUUAUGUCAAAGGUGCUCAGGAAGGAAAAGGAGCAGCCUUUGCUUGGACACUGUUAAAACACAAACCUUUGGUGACCUUGAUCAUUUUUUCAGCAAUGAACUGGGUCUAUAGACCUCAAAAAAAUCCCAGGAAAUACUUUCAGCACUGGUUGGAAAAGCUCAGGAUUAAAGAACCUUUCACAUCUGUUCCCUGUCACCAGCUUAAAUUUAACCUAUGACAGUAAUGAGUGAAAGUCCAUGUGCUGGUUGGCUUGUGUAAAGACUUUGUAGUCAUUUGUGUGCAUCACAAAUGGAGUUAAUUGACAGCUGUGUCAACAGCCUCUUUGAAGGAACCAGGAGUUCAUUAGGCACAUGGAUAGAGCUGGUCUUUCCCUGGUAAAAAAAAAAUACAAUAAAAAAAAAAUACCCCUUUUAUAUGCGGCACUUGAGAUGGAGUAGCAUGGGGAAACUUGCCAAGAUGCUGCCUGGUUUCUAGCCAUGACAGUAGUCACAUUGCUGAGGACCGCUCUAUUUUGGCGGCAGUCCCGCAGUUCGCCUGCCUCCCAAGCACAGAGGAGUGACAAGAAGCUGAGGGGUUUCUCCCUCACCAGCAUCUGGCACUUGCAGGACUGAGCUCUGCUUUCUCCUGUCUCUGGGCAAAGGCAGAACUGCCCACCUGAAUUCAAGGAGAAAAUCCUUAAAUCCUUUAAAAGAUUUCAUUGUAAGGCAUUUUUGCAUGGGCUCAUUGUUAAAUGAUUGCACAUAAAAAUGCAUUGAUGAAAGGCAUCUCUAUCUUUCUGUUUCCCCUUUGUGGAGUCUUUCCUUCAUAAAUAUAAUUACAGCUAUUCAGUGGUUAAAGUACUUACACCCUUUCCACACACUGUAAAAGUCCUUUCUGGAGCUGGUGCUUACUGGAAAGUGUGCUUAUUGAAAGUUUUGGAUUACUGAAGCUGUGCAUGUCAGCCCUGUCUCCCAUCCUUCCUCACUGAUGACUAUAUGGACUUAGUCUGGGAAAUUACUCAGUACCUUUGCUUAGAGAUUUAAAUCUUAUGUAGUCUUUUCAAGAAAGAGGUUGGUGAUUCCACCUGUAGUUGUAAAUCACCAGAUUCACACGUUGUUUGCAGAAUAACAUAAUCAAACAUUUUGCUAUGGGAAAAGGAAGACAAUGGCUGUACUGAAAGACACAAUGGGCAUCUGUUAGUGUAACAACAGGAGGGUUUUGUAUAAAUUGAGGAAUGCUUCCAUCUCAUUCCAUUAUGUUUCUAUGGGUUCUCAAGAAAACUACUUUCAUUUCUGUGCCUACAUCCUGUCCCAUGGAUUUCCUUGCUGUACCUUCUGCUGCUUCAGUGGAACUGGGCUACGGUGAGCCAUACAAAGUGGAUGAGGUUGCUGCAUGGUGUACCAAAGAGCUGGUCACAGACAACAAAAGAGUGCUUAGUAGGUAACAUUAGCACAUGUGUGUACAAGGCAGGAUAUAAAAGUCAAAGAAAGAGGAUUCAGUUUUAUA